rnacentral:lncRNA from 1 species
CCGCUCAUUCCUUUUUUAUUAUGUGUGUGUGAAGGAAAAUACAAACUUUAGAAUGGCAAAUGCUAGGGAGAAAUGUUUUUUAGUUUUGGCCAUAAUUUGUACACAAUAUGAUGUGGUUUAAAAAUAUAGUUUUCUAGCAUCAUCCUAUAAAAUUGACAAUUUUUUUAAGGAUCUGUUAUUGGCUUCAUCACGACAAUUCAUUCUUCCGGAGGUUGGGAAGACUCGCAAAGGUAGCCUCCUCCUGACCAACAUCAUGUGAUUCAUCAACGCCAUGAAUCAAACCCAAUACGUGUUGUGUGAAAUCCGAGCCUAAAAUUUGUCCCCAAUCAUUGAUUGUUAAACAGGCGCCAAAAUAUAUGAAUCCUGAAAUUGU